rnacentral:rRNA from 1 species
GAGUGGCGGACGGGUGAGUAACGCGUGGGAAUCUGCCCUGUGGUGGGGGAUAACCCGAGGAAACUCGGGCUAAUACCGCAUAAUCUCUACGGAGCAAAGCUGGGGACCUUCGGGCCUGGCGCUAUAGGAUGAGCCCGCGUCGGAUUAGCUUGUUGGUGAGGUAAUGGCUCACCAAGGCAAUGAUCUGUAGCUGUUCUGAGAGGAAGAUCAGCCACACUGGGACUGAGAUACGGCCCAGACUCC